UACGUAGGAGGCGAGCGUUGUCCGGAAUUACUGGGCGUAAAGCGCGCGUAGGCGGGGUUGCGCGUCGGCGGUGAAAGCCCCCGGCUCACCCGGGGGAGGGCCGCCGAGACGGCGACUCUUGGAGGGCGGUAGGGGCCGGUGGAACGCCCGGAGUAGCGGUGAAAUGCGUUGAGAUCGGGCAGAACACCAGUGGCGAAGGCGGCCGGCUGGGCCGACCCUGACGCUGAGGCGCGAAAGCCGGGGGAGCGAACGGA
rnacentral:rRNA from 1 species